rnacentral:rRNA from 1 species
CUGUGUGGCUCGAGUAUAGAUGAGGUAGNCGGAAUGUGUAGUGUACCGGUGAAAUGCAUAGAUAUUACACAGAACCCCAAUUGCGAAGGCAGCUUACCAAACUAUUACUGACGCUGAAGCACGAAAGCGUGGGUAGCGAACAGGAUUAGAUACCCUGGUAGUCCACGCCGUAAACUAUGCUCACUCGCUGUUGGCAAUAGAUCGUCAGCGGCUAAGGGAAACCGAUAAGUGAGCCACCUGGGGAGUACGAUCGCAAGAUUGAAACUCAAAGGAAUUGACGGGGGCCCGCACAAGCGGAGGAACAUGUGGUUUAAUUCGAUGAUACGCGAGGAACCUUACCUGGGCUUAAAUGUAGAGUGCAUAAAGUGGAAACAUUUUUUUCCUUCGGGACUCUUUACAAGGUGCUGCAUGGUUGUCGUCAGCUCGUGCCGUGAGGUGUCGGGUUAAGUCCCAUAACGAGCGCAACCCCUAUCGUUAGUUACCAGCACGUAGUGGUGGGGACUCUAGCGAAACUGCCGGUGUAAACCGUAAGGAAGGUGGGGAUGACGUCAAAUCAGCACGGCCCUUAUGUCCAGGGCUACACACGUGUUACAAUGGUCGGUACAGUGGGCAGCCACAUAGCAAUAUGGAGCCAAUCUCAAAAGCCGAUCUCAGUUCGGAUUGGAGUCUGCAACCCGACUCCAUGAAGGUGGAUUCGCUAGUAAUCGCGCAUCAGCCAUGGCGCGGUGAAUACGUUCACCGGGCCUNUGUACACACCGCCCGUCAAGCCAUGGAAGUUUGGGGUGCCUGAAGUUCGUAACCGCAAGGAGCGACCUAGGGGUAAAACAAAUGACUGG